rnacentral:rRNA from 1 species
GGAUUAGAAACCCGGGUAGUCCACGCCGUAAACGAUGGGUACUAGGUGCUUGGGGGAGCGACCCCCUGAGUGCCGGCGCUAACGCAUUAAGUACCCCGCCUGGGGAGUACGACCGCAAGGUUGAAACUCAAAGGAAUUGACGGGGGCCCGCACAAGCGGUGGAGCAUGUGGUUUAAUUCGACGCAACGCGAAGAACCUUACCUAGGCUUGACAUGUAUGGGAAACUGCCGAGAAACCGGUGGCCUCCUUCGGGACCCAUGCACAGGUGCUGCAUGGCUGUCGUCAGCUCGUGUCGUGAGAUGUUGGGUUAAGUCCCGCAACGAGCGCAACCCCCGUUUCUAGUUGCCAGCGGGUCAUGCCGGGAACUCUAGAAAGACUGCCGGUGCCAAACCGG